rnacentral:rRNA from 1 species
AAUGUGAAUUGCAGAAUUCCGUGAAUCAUCGAAUCUUUGAACGCACAUUGCGCCCCCUGGCAUUCCGGGGGGCAUGCCUGUCCGAGCGUCAUU